rnacentral:rRNA from 1 species
AGAACGCAGCAAAAUGCGAUAAUUGAUAUGAAUUGCAUAAUCCAGUAAAUCAUCAAUAUUUUU